rnacentral:rRNA from 1 species
GACGAACGCUGGCGGCGUGCUUAACACAUGCAAGUCGAACGGAAAGGCCUGCUUUCCCUUGUGGAUUGCGGGUACUCGAGUGGCGAACGGGUGAGUAACACGUGAGUGAUCUGCCCCCAACUUGGGUAUAAGCCUGGGAAACUGGGUCUAUUCCCGAUAGGACUGCAGGGUGGUGACUGUGGUGGAAAACGAUGUUCUAGUGGUUGGGGAUGAGCUCGCGGCCUAUCAGCUUGUUGGUGGGGUAAUGGCCUACCAAGGCGGCGACGGGAAGCCGGCCUGAGAGGGUCGACGGCCGCAUUGGGACGGGGUCCCGGCCCAGACGCCUGCGGGAGGCAGCAGUGGGGAAUAUUGGAGAAUGGGCGUAAGCCUGAUGCAGCGACGCAGCGUGGGGGAUGACGGCCCUCGGGUUGUAAGCUCCUUUCGACCGCGAGGAAGCCACCUGGUUGGAAGGGUGGUGACGGUAGUGGUAGAAGAAGCACCGGCUAACUACGUG